rnacentral:lncRNA from 1 species
AUGGAGCAUCUCCCAGUGCCCUGUGCGGGGCGACCACCUGCUGGGCUCCAGGUGUUUGCGGGAGCUCUCGCUGGCCUCUGCCUGGCCCCGCCGUCUGUCUGUGCGCACGUCCAUGCCCUCUUCUUUCCGACUUCCUUGCUGACGUCGCAGCCCUCUCUCCUCCGGCGUCUGGCGGCAUCUUGCGCGCCUCUGCCCCUUCCCUCGCUUCUCUGGAGGAGAGGUAUUGACUCGUGCUGGAGGCUGUGCGUGCCCGUGCACCUGUGGCACGCGGCCGCCUCUCCCCAGAGCGUCCUCUCUUCUGGGUGCGUGUGGAGUUGCGCUCUGAAGUCCUGUAGUUCUCUGAUUCCUUGGAUCCAAGCUCCCACCCGCCGUGGCCCAGAGGAAGUCCAGCCACACGGUGGUGAGCAGCACAGGGUCGCGCAGGCGUCUGUCUGCAUCCUUAACCUGGUUUAUUCUUGCUGUCCCUUGUCCCAGGAUCCUUCCCUCCAUCUCUCCCUCAUCCCUCAUCUUCCACCCACCCAGCAUCCCCCGACGUCUGUGAGCACUCUGUUCAUGAUCAGAGCCCCGGGCCCUGUAGAAGCCCCGAGACCACCUUCUGUCUCCCCUGUCAACAAACUCCCGGCCAUUUCCCCUCCACACGGGUCCUCUGAUGCCUGUCCCCCCCUUGCCUCUAGCCACCCCUGUGCUGUGCUGCGGCCCUGGCCUCCCUCCCCUCUCCUCCUGCCGCCUGGUGUCCAGGGAGUUCUUUCUCAUUCCUCACUCCCACCAAGCCCUGCACCCCUCCUCCCCUCCACGCACUCUGCAGCUCUGCCCCUGAGCUCCUUGGAGGAGCCUCUGUCGUCCUCGCCCUGGGGCUCCCGCCCUAGCAGGUGCGCAGCCCUGGUGCAGGCUCGUCUGCCCUUAAGGGCAGGAUCUGCUCUGAUUUCUCUCUGCCUCUCAGCACAGGGGAGGGAGGCAGUGGGGGAGUCUGGGCAGAGGGGAGGGCAGGACAGACACCAGGGAUCUGAAGAUCUCUCCUCCCUUUCUCCUCAGCCUCAGCCUCCCCUUCUCUUUCCAUGCUCUCCUUCUUAUUUAAAAAUUUAG